UACGCCUAGGACACCAGAA
rnacentral:snRNA from 1 species